AACGAACGCUGGCGGCAUGCCUAACACAUGCAAGUCGAACGAGACCUUCGGGUCUAGUGGCGCACGGGUGCGUAACGCGUGGGAACCUGCCCUUAGGUUCGGAAUAACUCCCCGAAAGGGGUGCUAAUACCGGAUAAUGUCUUCGGACCAAAGAUUUAUCGCCUUUGGAUGGGCCCGCGUUGGAUUAGCUGGUUGGUAGGGUAAAAGCCUACCAAGGCGACGAUCCAUAGCUGGUCUGAGAGGAUGAUCAGCCACACUGGGACUGAGACACGGCCCAGACUCCUACGGGAGGCAGCAGUGGGGAAUAUUGGACAAUGGGCGAAAGCCUGAUCCAGCAAUGCCGCGUGAGUGAUGAAGGCCUUAGGGUUGUAAAGCUCUUUUAACCGGGAUGAUAAUGACAGUACCGGGAGAAUAAGCUCCGGCUAACUCCGUG
rnacentral:rRNA from 1 species